UGAAGGAUUCCCUGAAGGAUUCCCUAAUGUUGCAGAGGAGCUCCUGACAGCCUUGGAUGAAGUCCCAUCUGAGACAGAUUCUGAGACUUUGCCAGAGACCUUCCCUAUGGAAGAAAAUGACAGUGUGCCAGGCCCAGAUGAAGAAAGAGAAGCAAUACAGGACACCAGCACAGUUGCUAAGCCUCAGGAAUAUUCAGAAUCAGCUGCUCGGCAAAAAGCCGAGACUCCUGAACAGUGGGAAUUCAGCAAGAAGUACCUCCUAGCGUCUAUUGCAGUCUCGUCUGUGCUGCUGCUUGUAGCAGUGGUUGGGUACAUAGUCAUGUAUCAGCUGCUGAAGAGAGACAUGUGAGUUAUUCAUUGCUGCCAUUGGCAAUGAAGUUUUUGCUCCCUGCUGGAGUGCCCAGGCAGCUCUGUGGAAACUGCUGCAUUGCAAUGUAUUAGCUGUACUCCAAAUUCGUAUCUAUGAGGAGUCUUGGAAAUCUUUUUCUGCAGUAGGGCCCAGGAAGACAAAGAGGCAACAGGACAAGACUGGGACUCUUCCUGGGAAAGCUGUGGCCUGCUUAGAGUUGAAACAGAAUCAGGAGAAGGAUCAGGAAGUGGCGAGAGACCCCAAGCCAAGAGGGUCGGGGACAGCUGCCCUCUGUUUCCUGAGAUCUUUGCAGCAGAGCUUGCCCAGCUGUACAAGAACAAGCGCGCAGACCCAUCACCUCUGUCCACGUGUCCCUUCUGUGCUCUGGCUGAUGGUGCCACUUCACGGGACUACUGGAUUACCCUGGACUCACCUCAGCCCACGGCAUCCUGGUGCCCCUGCUACCAGUACCAGGAGGAAUACUUUAUGUUGGAGGAUGAAGAUUAGUGAUAGUGAUAGUCAUAAAUAGUGAUAGUGAUUCUGUUAGUGACAGUAAUACUUGAUGUUAAAGCAUGGUGAUUAUUUUAGUGAUAGUGAUACUGAUAGUUUUAGUGAUAAUGAUAGCAAUACUUUCUAUUAGCGGAUGAUGAUUGUUUUUGUGAUUUUGAAAAUAAAUCUAUUUCCAAAAGUA